GGUGUGGGUGGAUCCCCAGAGGCCGAAGACUCUGCAAAGCCUGGAGGGUAGAGGCAGGACUGAGGUUAGGGAACGAGGGGUCUGGCACGUCUGCUGACUUUAGAAACAACUACAGGGGCUCUGGCCUGACAAAUGGAAGGAUACUAAUGAAGGUGAUGGAUUUGACAGCUUGAGAAAGGAGGCCUUUACCAAAUCUGGAUUUCACUUAACUUUCACAACAAUUAUUGAGGCCUGUUGCUACUCCCAUUUCACAGACGCUGCUAGGGAGGUUAAGCACCCUGUGCAGGCUUACACAACUAAUAAGCCGCAAAGCAGUAUUCCAGUGGCUGCAUUUGCAGAGCCUCUGUGCUGUGUGCACCACUCGAUGCUCCCACCCACCCAGCUCCGCAGGGAGAAAACGACAGGACUCAGGGGAGGAGCAGCACUUUCAAGUGGAGGUGGGGCGGAGCCCUGCGCUAGGCCUAGACUUCUGGUUGCAUUUUUGCAGGCCCGGACCAGAGAAGAAGGGAGCCCCCAGGGGUGGGCUCUUCAUCCCCUGAGUACUCCCAGACAAGCAGGGGUGAGAACGGGAGCCUACGACUCUGCACCUGCACCUCCAGCUCCAUAAACGAAGCAAAUCAUGGCCCAUAAAAUGUCACCACUGCUGAGAAAAUGGCAGCCAGCCCAAACCUGGUGACCUGGAGAACUGCAAGGGGAGAGCUGAUCCUCACUGACCUCUUCUCCCUCUACCUGGGGCAGGAAGUGAUGGCUGAUUGAUAUAGAAGUCUUUAGAGCUCCCCAGGAGGAAGCAAAGCAGACAUGUUUCUCAACAAUGUAACAAUUUUCCUCUGUGUACUCAAUCAUUUGUAGUAGAUUAUGACUACUUCCCUCCCGAUGGUCUGGAGGAGAAACUUUCCCACCAGGCUUACACUUCAAAAAUCACUUCCCCAGGCCUUCCCCCACCCCAACCCCUUGGAGAAAUUUCCCCUCUGGGUAGGUACACACAGCUGGGGAGGCUGGUGCACCAGCCCUCCAAGAUGGCUCAGUGUGUGUUCAGUCUGUGAAGGCACUGAAGGGGGAAUGGAGGGGGAGUAGGUUGGGGCCCUUACCCCAGCCUUAGAUGAUACUUCAGGGGGUUUCCCUCAGCUCAUUAGAGAGGAGUAAGCAGACCUGAGAGUCUGUCUCUUUGGUUCCCAAGAUAAAGAGGCUCUUAAGCCUCAAAGCACUUCUGUUUUCCUAGCCUGGCUGACCCUCCGGCCUUUGUUUAAGCCCCUCCUGAACAUAGCUGCCCAACUAGGGCUUCUUGCUUGGUGAGAGCUUUGGCCACCUUCUUCUGGGUGCUGAGCUUUGAUUCCUGGCAACAAUUUCUAUCCUGGAGUUUCUGUCUAAGCAGGGGAAAAGAAGAGGUAGAGGUUGGCUUGGGUAGAGCCUCUAGAAUUUAAAAAAGUUGGUUGCUAGGUAUUGAAGCUCAGCACCCAGAGUUCCUGGCUGACACCUUUGCCCUAUACUAAGUGGGAGGAGAAGAUUCAGUGGAAAGGAGCCCUGUUGUAGAGGUGGGGAAGCCAGAGUGCAGACCUUGGAAGAGCUCACUGUUAGAAUGGGUAGACACAUAAACAGCUGGAGAGCAUGCCCUCUGCCCCUUGGCAAGGGCCUCAUGGGGGUGGGUCUUCCUGUGCAGGUGGAGGGAGGAGAAUCUCUAAGUGACCUACAGUGUUAGGUCGCUCCUCCCACUGCUGGCCCUGGAGGAAUUUUCGUGACCUGAUGGGCCCACAGUAAUCCUGCAGCAGUGAUACUGAUAUUUCUCCCAUUCCUCUGGGGGAAGUGAAGUCACCUUCUGGGCCUUUACUGCCAAAUAUAUGUCAGCUGGUUAGAACUGAGUAGAUCUGGGUGCAAUUCAGAUGCAUAGGCUUAUCUUUUUUAGGUGGCCCACGUGAAGAUUCUAGAGAUUAACAUUCAAGUUAUCAAGCCUUAAUCUUAGUUUAGAAAGAUAGCAUCUUCAAAUAGGCCUUUGCUUUGCUGAAGACAAUAGCAAAGCUGCUUUUCCUCUUGAGAUGGAGUUUCACUGUGCCACCUGGGCUAGCCUCACGCUCCUGAGCUCCAGUAAUCUCCCACCUCAGAGUCCCAAGUAGCUGGGACUAUAGGCAUGUGCCACUGUGCCUGGCUCUGUGACAUUGCUUUUUGAAAUUAUCUGUGGGUAUGAUUUUCAAGGCAUUGCCCACUGAUAUUUUUUGUGUAUAAAAAAUUAGAGAAAUAAAUUAAAAAACAUAUACAAGAUACAAACCAAUUUUUUUAUUAUUAGAUUCAGCAAAUUAGAUUCAGAAAAUUACUCUGUCAAACAGUUAUGGAUCUUUCUAAACGUUAUUCUCAGUUGCUAUGCACAUUUUGUUGUGGAAUGUAACAAAUAGUUUUGAACCUGUGACUUUACUUGAGAAGCACUGGUACAGACUGUAAACUGGAGUUUUAAGGGCUGAAUUUAGCUCUCAUUUGUGUUUAGGUUGACCUGAUCUGUUUUUUAAAAAUUGGAUUAAAAAUCCAGAGGUUUCACAAAAAAGAAAAAAAAAUCCAGCUUUUUCUGAAAAGUAAAAAGCUUCAAACAAUGCAAGCCACAUCUACAACUGGGAGGAACUGAAAAGUAGCUACCCUUUUAAGCUUAGCUUUCAGCCUUCUAUGGGCCCCAGAUUCCACCUCUUCCUCUUUUCUUAUUCCUAAGCAGGCUCACUCAUUUGAAACCAAUGCUUCGCUGUAAAAGGUGUUUAAAUCUGUGUAUUCCUAUGCAGAAUAUUCCUUACAGUGAACUUUUAGGUCAUUUUCUUAGCCUUUCCAGAGGGAAAAUUCACUCUCCAAAGGUCCAUGGAACCUCUCCAGGGCUGUGUGGCUCUGAGACCAGAGGCUGAGGUGUUAGCACAGAGUUGUUGUCACUCAUUGGGUGCCCUCAAAACUCUCUAGAUGAGUGGAUCCUGCAUUUCAAAUCUCUAUGGGUAUUUGUGUGUGUGUGUGUAAAUUUGCAUCUUUAGGUGCACGUAAGAUGUUAUUUUGAUGAAUAUUAAAAUUCAUUUAAUAAUAUCUAAGUGUUACUGAAUGCCUACCAGUUUUUUGUAACUUGGUUCUCUCUCCUCUCUGUCAGUAGAUAUACAAA